UGGUAAUUUAGGUGGCACAACAGGCGGUGAGUCAGUUUCUGGAGUGACAGGUGGAGGUUCUACAGGCGAGACAGGGAUGACAGGACAUGAAGCUGGUGCAGAAGGCGACACGUCAACGUCGAAUGCGACAGGCACGGGGUCUUCAAUUACGUUGACAACAACCGGUGCAGGAGGCAGCGGAUCGACUAUGGUGACAAGCGGAGCAACCCCAAAUGUACUAAACGGAGGAUCAAAUGG
rnacentral:lncRNA from 1 species